rnacentral:misc_RNA from 1 species
GAUGAAGAACGUAGCGAAAUGCGAUAAGUAAUGUGAAUUGCAGAAUUCAGUGAAUCAUCGAAUCUUUGAACGCACAUUGCGCCCCCUGGUAUUCCGGGGGGCAUGCCUGUUCGAGCGUCAUUUCACCACUCAAGCCUCGCUUGGUAUUGGGCAACGCGGUCCGCCGCGUGCCUCAAAUCGACCGGCUGGGUCUUCUGUCCCCUAAGCGUUGUGGAAACUAUUCGCUAAAGGGUGCUCGGGAGGCUACGCCGUAAAACAAACCCAUUUCUAAGGUUGACCUCGGAUCAGGUAGGGAUACCCGCUGAACUUAAGCAUAUCAAUAAGCGAGGA